rnacentral:rRNA from 1 species
CCUACGGGGUGCAGCAGUGGGGAAUAUUGCGCAAUGGGCGAAAGCCUGACGCAGCGACGCCGCGUGAGGGAUGAAGGUCUUCGGAUCGUAAACCUCUUUCAGCAGGGAAGAACGGUCACUGUGCUAAUCAGCAGUGAAUUGACGGUACCUGCAAAGGAAGCACCGGCCAACUCCGUGCCAGCAGCCGCGGUAAUACGGAAGGUGCGGGCGUUAAUCGGAAUUACUGGGCGUAAGGCGAUCGUAGGCGGUAUGUCAAGUCAAGGGUGAAAUCCCCGCGCUCAACGUGGGAACUGCCGUUGAAACUGGCAAACUGGAGUGUGUGAGAGGAUAGUGGAAUUCCAGGUGUAGGAGUGAAAUGCGUAGAUAUCUGGAGGAACAUCAGUGGCGAAGGCGACUAUCUGGCACAUAACUGACGCUGAGGAGCGAAAGCGUGGGUAGCAAACAGGAUUAGAUACCCGAGUAGUC